CCUACGGGAGGCAGCAGUAGGGAAUCUUCCACAAUGGGCGAAAGCCUGAUGGAGCAACGCCGCGUGGGUGAAGAAGGUCUUCGGAUCGUAAAACCCUGUUGUUAGAGAAGAAAGUGCGUGAGAGUAACUGUUCACGUUUCGACGGUAUCUAACCAGAAAGCCACGGCUAACUACGUGCCAGCAGCCGCGGUAAUACGUAGGUGGCAAGCGUUAUCCGGAUUUAUUGGGCGUAAAGGGAACGCAGGCGGUCUUUUAAGUCUGAUGUGAAAGCCUUCGGCUUAACCGGAGUAGUGCAUUGGAAACUGGGAGACUUGAGUGAAGAAGAGGAGAGUGGAACUCCAAGUGUAGCGGUGGAAUGCGUAGAUAUAUGGAAGAACACCAGUGGCGAAGGCGGCUCUCUGGCCUGUAACUGACGCUGAGGUUCGAAAGCGUGGGUAGCAAACAGGAUUAGAUACCCUAGUAGUC
rnacentral:rRNA from 1 species